UACGGGGGGGGCAAGCGUUGUUCGGAAUUACUGGGCGUAAAGGGCUUGUAGGUGGCCAACUAAGUCAGACGUGAAAUCCCUCGGCUUAACCGGGGAACUGCGUCUGAUACUGGAUGGCUAGAGUGUGGGAGAGGGAUGCGGAAUUCCAGGUGUAGCGGUGAAAUGCGUAGAUAUCUGCAGGAACACCCGUGGCGAAAGCGGCGAGCUGGACCACUACUGACGCUGAAGAACGAAAGCUAGGGGAGCAAACAGG
rnacentral:rRNA from 1 species